rnacentral:rRNA from 1 species
ACGGGAGGCAGCAGUGGGGAAUAUUGGACAAUGGGGGAAACCCUGAUCCAGCGACGCCGCGUGAGUGAAGAAGUAUUUCGGUAUGUAAAGCUUUAUCAGCAAGGAAGAAAAUGACGGUACUUGACUAAGAAGCCCCGGCUAACUACGUGCCAGCAGCCGCGGUAAUACGUAGGGGGCAAGCGUUAUCCGGAUUUACUGGGUGUAAAGGGAGCGUAGACGGCAAAGCAAGUCUGAAGUGAAAGCCCCGGGCUCAGCCCGGGAACUGCUUUGGAGACUGUUUAGCUAGAGUGCAGGAGAGGUAAGUGGAAUUCCUAGUGUAGCGGUGAAAUGCGUAGAUAUUAGGAGGAACACCAGAGGCGAAGGCGGCUUACUGGACUGUAACUGACGUUGAGGCUCGAAAGCGUGGGGAGCAAACAGGAUUAGAUACCCUGGUA